UACGAAGGGGGCUAGCGUUGCUCGGAAUCACUGGGCGUAAAGGGUGCGUAGGCGGGUCUUAAGUCAGGGGUGAAAUCCUGGAGCUCAACUCCAGAACUGCCUUUGAUACUGGGGAUCUCGAGUCCGGAAGAGGUGAGUGGAACUCCGAGUGUAGAGGUGAAAUUCGUAGAUAUUCGGAAGAACACCAGUGGCGAAGGCGGCUCACUGGCUCGGUACUGACGCUGAGGCGCGAAAAGCGUGGGGAGCAAACAGGG
rnacentral:rRNA from 1 species